GUUAAGCGACUAAGCGUACACGGUGGAUGCCCUGGCAGUCAGAGGCGAUGAAGGACGUGCUAAUCUGCGAUAAGCGUCGGUAAGGUGAUAUGAACCGUUAUAACCGGCGAUUUCCGAAUGGGGAAACCCAGUGUGUUUCGACACACUAUCAUUAACUGAAUCCAUAGGUUAAUGAGGCGAACCGGGGGAACUGAAACAUCUAAGUACCCCGAGGAAAAGAAAUCAACCGAGAUUCCCCCAGUAGCGGCGAGCGAACGGGGAGCAGCCCAGAGCCUGAAUCAGUGUGUGUGUUAGUGGAAGCGUCUGGAAAGGCGCGCGAUACAGGGUGACAGCCCCGUACACAAAAAUGCACAUGCUGUGAGCUCGAUGAGUAGGGCGGGACACGUGGUAUCCUGUCUGAAUAUGGGGGGACCAUCCUCCAAGGCUAAAUACUCCUGACUGACCGAUAGUGAACCAGUACCGUGAGGGAAAGGCGAAAAGAACCCCGGCGAGGGGAGUGAAAAAGAACCUGAAACCGUGUACGUACAAGCAGUGGGAGCACGCUUAGGCGUGUGACUGCGUACCUUUUGUAUAAUGGGUCAGCGACUUAUAUUCUGUAGCAAGGUUAACCGAAUAGGGGAGCCGAAGGGAAACCGAGUCUUAACUGGGCGUUAAGUUGCAGGGUAUAGACCCGAAACCCGGUGAUCUAGCCAUGGGCAGGUUGAAGGUUGGGUAACACUAACUGGAGGACCGAACCGACUAAUGUUGAAAAAUUAGCGGAUGACUUGUGGCUGGGGGUGAAAGGCCAAUCAAACCGGGAGAUAGCUGGUUCUCCCCGAAAGCUAUUUAGGUAGCGCCUCGUGAAUUCAUCUCCGGGGGUAGAGCACUGUUUCGGCAAGGGGGUCAUCCCGACUUACCAACCCGAUGCAAACUGCGAAUACCGGAGAAUGUUAUCACGGGAGACACACGGCGGGUGCUAACGUCCGUCGUGAAGAGGGAAACAACCCAGACCGCCAGCUAAGGUCCCAAAGUCAUGGUUAAGUGGGAAACGAUGUGGGAAGGCCCAGACAGCCAGGAUGUUGGCUUAGAAGCAGCCAUCAUUUAAAGAAAGCGUAAUAGCUCACUGGUCGAGUCGGCCUGCGCGGAAGAUGUAACGGGGCUAAACCAUGCACCGAAGCUGCGGCAGCGACGCUUAUGCGUUGUUGGGUAGGGGAGCGUUCUGUAAGCCUGUGAAGGUGUACUGUGAGGUAUGCUGGAGGUAUCAGAAGUGCGAAUGCUGACAUAAGUAACGAUAAAGCGGGUGAAAAGCCCGCUCGCCGGAAGACCAAGGGUUCCUGUCCAACGUUAAUCGGGGCAGGGUGAGUCGACCCCUAAGGCGAGGCCGAAAGGCGUAGUCGAUGGGAAACAGGUUAAUAUUCCUGUACUUGGUGUUACUGCGAAGGGGGGACGGAGAAGGCUAUGUUGGCCGGGCGACGGUUGUCCCGGUUUAAGCGUGUAGGCUGGUUUUCCAGGCAAAUCCGGAAAAUCAAGGCUGAGGCGUGAUGACGAGGCACUACGGUGCUGAAGCAACAAAUGCCCUGCUUCCAGGAAAAGCCUCUAAGCAUCAGGUAACAUCAAAUCGUACCCCAAACCGACACAGGUGGUCAGGUAGAGAAUACCAAGGCGCUUGAGAGAACUCGGGUGAAGGAACUAGGCAAAAUGGUGCCGUAACUUCGGGAGAAGGCACGCUGAUAUGUAGGUGAAGUCCCUCGCGGAUGGAGCUGAAAUCAGUCGAAGAUACCAGCUGGCUGCAACUGUUUAUUAAAAACACAGCACUGUGCAAACACGAAAGUGGACGUAUACGGUGUGACGCCUGCCCGGUGCCGGAAGGUUAAUUGAUGGGGUCAGCGCAAGCGAAGCUCUUGAUCGAAGCCCCGGUAAACGGCGGCCGUAACUAUAACGGUCCUAAGGUAGCGAAAUUCCUUGUCGGGUAAGUUCCGACCUGCACGAAUGGCGUAAUGAUGGCCAGGCUGUCUCCACCCGAGACUCAGUGAAAUUGAACUCGCUGUGAAGAUGCAGUGUACCCGCGGCAAGACGGAAAGACCCCGUGAACCUUUACUAUAGCUUGACACUGAACAUUGAGCCUUGAUGUGUAGGAUAGGUGGGAGGCUUUGAAGUGUGGACGCCAGUCUGCAUGGAGCCGACCUUGAAAUACCACCCUUUAAUGUUUGAUGUUCUAACGUUGACCCGUGAUCCGGGUUGCGGACAGUGUCUGGUGGGUAGUUUGACUGGGGCGGUCUCCUCCUAAAGAGUAACGGAGGAGCACGAAGGUUGGCUAAUCCUGGUCGGACAUCAGGAGGUUAGUGCAAUGGCAUAAGCCAGCUUGACUGCGAGCGUGACGGCGCGAGCAGGUGCGAAAGCAGGUCAUAGUGAUCCGGUGGUUCUGAAUGGAAGGGCCAUCGCUCAACGGAUAAAAGGUACUCCGGGGAUAACAGGCUGAUACCGCCCAAGAGUUCAUAUCGACGGCGGUGUUUGGCACCUCGAUGUCGGCUCAUCACAUCCUGGGGCUGAAGUAGGUCCCAAGGGUAUGGCUGUUCGCCAUUUAAAGUGGUACGCGAGCUGGGUUUAGAACGUCGUGAGACAGUUCGGUCCCUAUCUGCCGUGGGCGCUGGAGAACUGAGGGGGGCUGCUCCUAGUACGAGAGGACCGGAGUGGACGCAUCACUGGUGUUCGGGUUGUCAUGCCAAUGGCACUGCCCGGUAGCUAAAUGCGGAAGAGAUAAGUGCUGAAAGCAUCUAAGCACGAAACUUGCC
rnacentral:rRNA from 1 species